CGUUGGUGCUUUCGGCCUCGGGAACAGGUUCCAGACCGAGGCGGGAUUAGGCGGGACCCCCUGCACCCUCUCUCCACCCCGGCUGAAUUGAUCGGGGCCGUGUCCUUGGUCAGCUAACCCGCCCCCGACCACCGAGAACAUGGCAGGAUAGAUUCCCCUUGGAUGUUGCUCAUUUGGAUUUUGGAGUUUGCCCUGACUUUGUCAAUCCUCAGGCCAGAUCCAGGUAGCAGUACUCUUGGAAAUCUCCACAAGCGGAUUCAAGAGUCAACCAAACCAGGAGUGCCUACAGCUUGAAAAUUUAUGCCAGUGGAGGAAUUUGUAGCAUCUCACGAACUCUCUUUCUAUUGAAAGGAUGCAGAAAUGCAGCACUAUUUAAAAAGAAAAAGUUUCUGAGAGAAAGAAACUUUCAUCAUAGCAGGGUGAUG